GCUCUUCCGAUCUGAGAUCCUCGUUGAGGCUCGCAGGCGGUCAUGCGUAUACCUCUGUCACGCAUCUCGCGAUUCCACCUCUCGUAUUCUAAUUCUAAUUGCGGUUUCGCGGGAAGCUUUCCUUGAAAAAAAAAAAACAUUGCGUCUCGUUCCGGCUGAUAUCGCGAAUCAGCUUUUGAGCUAAAGCUAUAUCACUAAUAUUAGUAGUAUAUAAUUAGUAGCACUGAUUAUACGGAAUAUGUUAUUUCUAAUUGGCAUCGUGUAUGGUUAUGAGAUUCUAUGAUGCGAUUCUAUCAUAAUGAUAACCGAAACGAUACACCGACACACACAUUAACCUUCAUCCGAAUGGAAGAGCCUUUUUCAAAUCAAAAAUCAAACGUGAUAAAUAUAAAUAAUCUAUCACAUGUAUACUGAUAUGUCACUAUCUCACUGACAAGAAACAUCCACGAACCUGUGCGUCUCGGGAUUUCGACAAAAUUUGCCACACUUGCAGGGAUGAAACUGCCCCUGAGAGGCAGUCACUCCCUUUACGCUACCUCGAUAAUUAUUGCAGAUGGGGAAAAACUUUUUAAACAAAAAUAUACCGCAUAAACGUGCAAUUUUUGUUUAAAAAGUUUUUUCGUAUCUGCAAUAAUUAUCGAGAUGGCACAAAGGGGAUGAAACUUUGAGGGCCCGUUUCAUCUCUUAAACCUGAGCCGUUGCGGAUUAAAGAAAUAUGGACCUUUUAUUUCUGACUACUCUACAAAUAUGCCGAAGUUUCGUCGAAAUCUGAGACACACACACACUUCGCAGAUGUUCCUUACGAGCACAUGAACUGGAUUAAAAAAAAGAACGAAAUAUUUUAGAAUUAUUAAUUUCAGCUACCCUCCGUACUGAGAGCCUCUGAGGUGUCUCCUCUGUCCUCGUUUGCGUCAUAAAAAAAUCGUUCUAUCCUGACGAAGGUUAAUAUCAGUAGUGGCAAACAUCAGCAAAAAUCUGAUCUCGCGUUAAUUGGACUCUGAAACAUCCGAAGCGG